UUCGCAAUGCCCGAAAGGGUGACGAAGCGACGCCGCGUGGGUGAGGAAGGCCUUCGGGUUGUAAAGCCCUGUCAGGAGUUAAGAAAUGUAAGUGCGCUAAUAUCGCAUUUAUUUGACGAAGGCUCCAAAGGAAGCCACGGCUAACUCUGUGCCAGCAGCCGCGGUAAUACAGAGGUGGCAAGCGUUGUUCGGAAUUAUUGGGCGUAAAGAGCACGUAGGUGGGUUUGUAAGUCAGAUGUGAAAGCCUUCUGUUCAACGGAAGAAUUGCAUCUGAAACUACAAGUCUUGAGUGUAGGAGGGGAGAAUGGAACUUCUGGUGGAGCGGUGAAAUGCGUAGAUAUCAGAAGGAACGCCGGCGGCGAAAGCGAUUCUCUGGCCUAUUACUGACACUCAGUGUGCGAAAGCUAGGGGAGCAAACGGGAUUAGAUACCCCGGUAGUCCUAGCCGUAAACGAUGGGCACUAAGUAGAGGGGUUUU
rnacentral:rRNA from 1 species